rnacentral:lncRNA from 1 species
CCAUAUUCUGCAAGCUUUAGGUAUUCGAAAUCUUUGUCAAUGUUUUGGAAACAUUUGAACUCCAGAAUACAUCACUGCCAAACCUCAUCUUACUGUGUGUCUUGGGGCUCCAUCAUCUUCAUUCUUGCAGUAUUUUAUUAGUCUAUAUUUUUUGUUGAAUUUCCUUUGAAGACAUCACUGCCAAACCUCAUCUUACCGUGUGUCUUGGGGCUCCAUCAUCUUCAUUCUUGCAGUAAUUUAUUAGUCUCUAUUUUUUUGUUAUAUUUCCUUUGAAGUCAGCUAAUAUGUACAGUGGAAGAGCUAGGUGGAAAAUCCAAAAGUAAAAUGGACGUAUCUUGAAAGUGUGUGGUUUAGGCAGUUAAAGUUGCAGUUGCUGCUAUUAAUUACCAUAAAUAUAAAAUUCUAGAUAUUUUACACGUUUCCUUCUUGAUCAACAUGAUUUCUUUUCUCUCUUUUCUUUUCACCUUCUAAAUUUAGUUGCAGGUGAC